UUGUUCCUACGGGAGGCAGCAGUGAGGAAUAUUGGUCAAUGGGCGGGAGCCUGAACCAGCCAAGUCGCGUGAGGGAAGACGGUCCUACGGAUUGUAAACCUCUUUUGCCGGGGAGCAACGGGGUCCUUGCGAGGUCCCAAUGAGAGUACCUGAAGAAAAAGCAUCGGCUAACUCCGUGCCAGCAGCCGCGGUAAUACGGAGGAUGCGAGCGUUAUCCGGAUUUAUUGGGUUUAAAGGGUGCGUAGGCGGAAUAUCAAGUCAGCGGUAAAAAUUCGGGGCUCAACCCCGUCGUGCCGUUGAAACUG
rnacentral:rRNA from 1 species